rnacentral:rRNA from 1 species
UACCAGCUCUCCGAGUGGUAGGGAUGAUUAUUGGGCUUAAAGCGUCCGUAGCCGGCUUAGCAAGUUUCCUGUUAAACCCAGCGACUCAAUCGUUGGAUCGCGGGAAAUACUACUAGGCUAGGAGGCGGGAGAGGUCAACGGUACUUCUGGGGUAGGGGUGAAAUCCUAUAAUCCCGGGAGGACCACCAGUGGCGAAGGCUGUUGACUAGAACGCGCUCGACGGUGAGGGACGAAAGCUGGGGUAGCAAACCGGAUUAGAUACCCGGGUAGUCCCAGCUGUAAACGAUGCGAGCUAGGUGUUGGGAUGGCUGCGGGCCAUUUCAGUGCCGCAGGGAAGCCAUUAAGCUCGCCGCCUGGGGAGUACGGCCGCAAGGCUGAAACUUAAAGGAAUUGGCGGGGGAGCACCACAAGGCGUGAAGCUUGCGGUUC